GGAAGUAGGAGACAGGGAACAUGCUUCUGCUGAUAAGAAAAAUAUGUCUUAUCCCCAAUCCCUUUAAUCACUUUGCUUCCUGGCUGACAUGAAGUGAGUAGCUCUCUUUUUCCACAGCCUUCUGCUGCCAUGUUUAUAUCUUGUCCCAGGCACCAAAGCAAAGGAGCCUGGUGACCACAGACUCAAUUCUCUGAAGCUUUCUUCAUUUCAGAUGCUUUCCUCAGGCAUUGGUCAUCAUGUCACAAAACUAAUGUAGGAAUACGGGGCAAAAACAUGUGAGGAUGGGCCAAACAUUGCUAAUCUUUCACAGCUGCUGGAGAAGCUGUGCUAUGAGCCGUGGUUUCCUGAGCAGUGAAGCUGGAGAAACCUGGAAGGACUUUACUUUCAGAGAGCCUCUGGCCUUGUAAUGGAAAUGGAGCACCAUUGGGCGAACACAUAUAUUGUUUGCAUGAAGAUUUGUACUUAUCUAUGAAGUCUUUGUUUGUGUAUCAUGGACCAAAAUAUUACCACCCAUCAGAAAAUCCCAGCUGGGUAGAGAGACCAGGAAGCAUUCGUCAAGUUGUUCACAAUGGCUAUCCUCAACUGUGCAGCCAUAUUCUCAGGGAUUUCAACCAUUCCUAAGUGUUGUGAGAUGGCCUGUCAGAGAGACUUUCCCCGAGACUGGCUACUGGAGCUCAGAAGAUGGUUGUUGAGAGGAACUUGUGA
rnacentral:lncRNA from 1 species